GAUCUGGUUCAGGAUGAACGCUGGCGGCGUGCCUAAUACAUGCAAGUCGAGCGAGAAUCUGCGGAUCUGCGAUUCGUCAAGGAGAAGCGGAGGAAAGCGGCGGACGGGUGAGUAACGCGUAGGCAACCUGCCCUUAGCUGAGGGAUAGCCAUUGGAAACGAUGAUUAAAACCUCAUAAUGCCAAACAUACACAUGUGCGUUUGGCCAAAGAUUUAUCGGCUAGGGAUGGGCCUGCGUCUGAUUAACUGGUUGGUGAGGUAACGGCCCACCAAGGUGACGAUCAGUAGCCGACCUGAGAGGGUGAUCGGCCACAUUGGAACUGAGACACGGUCCAAACUUCUACGGAAGGCAGCAGUAAGGAAUCUUGCACAAUGGGGGAAACCCUGAUGCAGCAACGCCGCGUGAACGAUGAAGGCCUUAGGGUUGUAAAGUUCUGAUCUGGGGGAAGAAGAAAGUGACGGUACCCCAGGAGAAAGCCCCGGCUAAAUACGUGCCAGCCGCUGC
rnacentral:rRNA from 1 species